CACUCCUACGGGAGGCAGCAGUGGGGAAUUUUGGACAAUGGGCGAAAGCCUGAUCCAGCAAUGCCGCGUGAGUGAAGAAGGCCUUCGGGUUGUAAAGCUCUUUUGUCAGGGAAGAAACGGUGAGAGCUAAUAUCUCUUGCUAAUGACGGUACCUGAAGAAUAAGCACCGGCUAACUACGUGCCAGCAGCCGCGGUAAUACGUAGGGUGCAAGCGUUAAUCGGAAUUACUGGGCGUAAAGCGUGCGCAGGCGGUUUUGUAAGUCUGAUGUGAAAUCCCCGGGCUCAACCUGGGAAUUGCAUUGGAGACUGCAAGGCUAGAAUCUGGCAGAGGGGGGUAGAAUUCCACGUGUAGCAGUGAAAUGCGUAGAUAUGUGGAGGAACACCGAUGGCGAAGGCAGCCCCCUGGGUCAAGAUUGACGCUCAUGCACGAAAGCGUGGGGAGCAAACAGGAUUAGAAACCCUAGUAGUCCCAUGA
rnacentral:rRNA from 1 species